UUGGAAUGUUUACAAUAUCAAAACCUCUUA
rnacentral:piRNA from 1 species